CCGACACGGGGAGGUAGUGACAAGAAAUAGCGAUACCGGGCUCUUACGAGUCUGGUAAUUGCAAUGGACGUAUUGUAAAUGCCUACGUGAGUAUCCAUUGGAGGGCAAGUCUGGUGCCAGCAGCCGCGGUAAUUCCAGCUCCAAUAGCGUAUAUUAAAGUUGUUGCAGUUAAAAAGCUCGUAGUUGGAUUUCAGUCUUAGCGCUCCUGGCCCGCGCCCUUGAGGCGCCGAGUGCCGGAUGAGCGCUGGACUUCCUUCUGGCAAGGAUCUUCUACCCCUAUGGGGCCGGGAGUGACUUCUGGAUCAUUUACUUUGAAGAAAUUAGAGUGUUCAAAGCAAGCUUACGCUGUGAAUAUAUUAGCAUGGAAUAAUAACAUAGGACUCGGGUUCUAUUUUGUUGGUUUCUAGGACUCAAGUAAUGAUUGAUAGGGACAGUUGGGGGUGCUGCUAUUAUAUGGCCAGAGGUGAAAUUCACGGAUUCAUAUAAGAGCAACUU
rnacentral:rRNA from 1 species